rnacentral:ncRNA from 1 species
AUACAGGCCUCACUUAGAGGCCUUGCUAUGACCUGGGGAGGUUAGGCAUCCAUUUGGUAGCGACAGCACCCUUCUGGAGAGACGGCAACCAGAGACCGGGCUUGUCAGACCCGGUCGAGAGUCCGUCUU